GGGAGAGCAUCAGCCCCUGGGGGUUAUGCUCAAAGGGCAGUGAGGAUCAGGUCUUGACCUAUUUUUAUGAACCUUGUCCAGCUGGUGGGCACCUCUCCCUCCUGCACCACCUUUGGCUCCCAGACACUAACCCUAGCUGCUUCUCUGCUAAACCCUGCCUCUCCCUGGCUGCCCCUGCUCUCUAACCACUAACAGGCACUGCCUCCGCUUGGCCCCUGAGUGCCCAGGCCACGGCCUGCCUGUCACAGCUCUCACCACCUCCUAUUAACCUCUUCUGCGUGACCACUACUAACCCCUCCCUCCUCGGUUCCUUUCAGCAAAAACUAAUGGCUUGCUGACUCCUUUCCACUAACAAGCAGGUCCAGCUCUCUGUGGUUAACAGCUUGAGUGUCUGCAUGGCUGGU
rnacentral:lncRNA from 1 species